rnacentral:rRNA from 1 species
GGACUACCGGGGUUUCUAAUCCUGUUCGAUCCCCACGCUUUCGUGCAUCAGCGUCAAUACCAGCUUAGUGAGCUGCCUUCGCAAUCGGAGUUCUAAGACAUAUCUAUGCAUUUCACCGCUACUUGUCUUAUUCCGCCCACUUCAAAUGGAUUCAAGCCCAUCAGUAUCAAAGGCACUGCGAUGGUUGAGCCACCGUAUUUCACCCCUGACUUAAUAGGCCGCCUACGCACCCUUUAAACCCAAUAAAUCCGGAUAACGCUCGGAUCCUCCGUAUUACCGCGGCUGCUGGCAC